rnacentral:lncRNA from 1 species
CAGUAUGUAGUGGCAACCUAGUAGAAAGGAAGUAUGAACCUCUAGGUAUAGUUAUCAUAUGAUUCAGUCAUUCUAUCGAAAGUUUCGACUUGACGGAGGUCAUGGAUAACUUGUCAAACCCCAUCAUUAGUCAUAUACCAAAUUGGCUCGACUUGAGUUCUCUUAUGAAUCUCAUGGAAACUCCUUUCUAGAAUUCACUCUUGCUUUGAUCAAAGACUUACUGAACUCAGUCUCGCGAAUCACAUAGAACUAUAUAUUUUCUACUA